rnacentral:rRNA from 1 species
GCGAGGAAACCCGCUGAACUUAAGCAUAUCAAAAGGCGGAGGAAAAGAAACCAAUUUGGAUGC